UCCAAAUGAUCAAUUAAAAAAAACAGUCAAAGCCAAAAGAAAAGGUGUCCGCUACAUUAGCGGCUUACAAGGAGAUGACAGAUGAAGAACUGCUGAAAGAGGCACAACAAAUUGAAACUGAGAAAGCUUAUGUUGCAGUAGCUAAUCUAUUUAAAGUAACUGUUUCUCCCACAUUAUUCUUCAUUAAUAUUAAAACACAGCAACCAAAAAUACUUUAUAUAUAUAUAAAAAAUCUAAUAAACGUGU